AAGCAAAUAAAAGCAAAGACAUACAUACAGAGAUCAAAUCAGUGAUUAUCAGAGGGGAAGGAAUGGGAGGAGGGAAACGGCUUAAGGGGAUUAACUGUACGGUGUUGGAUGAAAAACUACAUUUCUGGUGGUGAGCAUGCUGUGGUGUAUAUAGAAGUAGAACUAUAAAGUUGUAUACAUGAAACAUAUAUUGUUAUAAGCCAGUAUUACUUCAAUAAAAGAUACAUUAAAAGGAUUUCCCUUUGUAGCUAAGUGGGUUAAGGAUUGGACCUUAUCUCUGUGCGGAUGUGAGUUUGAUCCCUGGCCUCGCUCAGUGGGCUAAGGAUCUGGCAUUGUUGCAAACUGCAGCUUGGAUCCAGUUUUGCCAUGGCUGUGGCAUAAGCCUCAGCUGCAGCUUUGAUUCGACCCCUAGCCUGAGAUCUUCUGUACGCUGCAGGUGCAGCCAUUAAAAUAAAUAAAUAAAUAAAUAAAACCCAAAAGGUAGAAGAAAAAUUAGAUAUGUUUGGAAAAUACAGGGCUGCAAUUUUUGCACUCAUUUUGUACUUCUAUGUAAAUGGUGCCCUCUGGAGUUGUGCUGAAUAGUGACCUUGGGUAAAUGCUAUAUACACCUCUUUUUUAGCCUGUUAAAAGCUGUACGUGUUUUUAGCCUGUUUAAACUGUACGUGUUAAAACUUGGUGAAUCCAGUGCUCUAGAGAAUACUAGGGAGUUAUUACAAAUGAAUUUAGCUAGAUAUCUUAUUCCUGAGGUAUAGAAUGUUACAUAACUUGAAAUACUCAGUGCAGUUUAAUGAAUUAGGCAGAAAACCUAGACGGUUUUCUCAAAAUCACAACUUUUUUUUAACAUUUCACAUUUCUUUUUUUUUUUCCUGUGUGGUAGUCCAUUACAUGAAUAUAUACCACGAUUUACUUAUUUUACUAUUGAUAGAUAUUGGAUUAUUUCAGUUUUUAGCUCUCCAAUAAAAAUGAUAUGAACAUUCUUACAUAUUUCUUUUUACAGUCAUAUGAAUGUCUUUCUCUUGGGAAUAUAACUAGAGAAAAUUUGGGGGUAAUAGGGAAUGCAUACAUUUUGCUUUAGUACCUAGUGCCCAACAGUUUUGCAAAGUGGUUUCGCAUUUCUACCAGUAACAUAUGAGAGUUCUAGUUGCUUCACAAACUUGCUAAUUCUUGGUAUUCUUGGCCUUGUAUUUUAGCCAUUCUGGUGGUUGUUUAGUGAUGUAGAAAUUUCAUGCACAGGAAGGAAUGUAAGACUUGUGCAUCUUUGUUUUUCAUUUCAACAAAUAUUUACUUCAAGCUUGAGCACCUUUUUUUUCAAGGUGCCCAAAUCUAUUUAAUCCAAGUCUAAAGUCACAUUUUGCUUAUCAGAGCAUUAAAUAAUUUAUUCAUUAAAUAUUUACUAAUGUAUUUUAAGUACUUAGCAGUGUUCUUAGUGCUCAGAAGGAUACAAAAGUUAAAAGUAGAGGCGGAGUCCUUGCUCUUAAUGAUUGUACAGUCUGUGUAGAGAGGUAAAAACAAUGCAUAUAAGAUGAGAAAUCCAAAGUGACAUGAUGGCAUAUAAGUGAUAAGUUGCAUGUGAUAGACUGUAAGGAGUAUGGGAAGAAUAAAUUGGCAUUAGAGUACUUUAGGUUACCUUUAGAAGUGUUCUUCUUAAGUUUCCCAUAUUGAAUCACUUACUAAAUUCUAUCAGUUUUGCUUUCUAAAUAUCUGAAAUCUCUUUGCUUCUUUUACUUCAAAUUCCUGUCAGCAUUUUUUGUUUAUGUGUAGAACAUUAAAAUUGCCGUGUGAAAGGUCUCUCUGCCUUCAUUUUGAGUCCCCUUUCAUACAUUCUCCCAUCAGAAUGAUCUUUUUUUUUUUUUUUUUUUUUGGUCUUUUUGCCUUCUCUAGGGCCACUGCUGCAGCAUAUGGAGUUCCCAGGCUAGGGGUCGAAUUGGAGCUGCACCUGCAGGCCUACGCACAGCCACAGCAACGCUGGAUCUGAGCUGUGUCUGAGACCACAGCUUAUGGCAACACCGGAUCCUUAACCCACUGAGCAAGGCCAGGGAUUGAACCUACAUCCUCAUGGAUACUAGUCAGGUUCAUUACCUCUGAGCCAGGAGGGGAACUCGGAAAAAGGGGUUUUAAAAUUUCCUAUUUAGUUAUGUUUCUAACACAAGAACAAUGAGGCAAGGAUUGUAUUUAGUUUAACAUUAUAUUCCUAGCUGUUUGCACAGUGUGCAGUACUUAGGAGGAAUUUAAUAACCUUUUGUUUAAUAAGUAAAUGUAUGUAUAAAGAGAAGAGCAGAGGUUAAGUUUUGAACCUAUAGAAAUGAUUCUCUGAAUGGGCUGUAUAGGAAGCAGUCAAAGAACCAGCCAGAGGGACAUUUUCAAAGGAAAGGUGGUAGAUGAUAGUAUUCAUUGUGAUAGAAAAGUCAGGGAGAAUUAAGGUAGAGAAAAGCCUAUAAGCUUUUAUUAGCAUUUAUUGAAGCAGUAAAUAUCAUUCCUUAUUCUGUCUUCCCUUAUUGGUUGGUUGAAAUGUUUUUAGAAAUUUCUCAAGUUUUUAAAUUUCUCAUUUAACCAAAUUUCAUGCUUUUAGGCACUUUAAAGUGCAUUGGCCCCAGUGAAUUUGAUUUAUGGAAAUUAGAAUGAAAGAGGAAUAAUGCUUGAGAAGUAAUUAAAACUUUUUUUGUAAAAUAAAAUAAAAGCUCAUCAGAUCAGAAAAAAAGUAAACUUGUGUUACAAUCAGGAGUAGAAAUCACAUCUAAUUUUUUUAUUGUGGUAAAAUAUAUAUAAGAUAAAUUUAUCAUUUUAAUCCUUUUGAGUGUACAGUUCAGUGGCAUUAAGUACAUUCACAUUGCUGUGCAGCCAUUAUCACUAUCCCCAGAACUUUUCCAUCACCUCAUUCUGAAAUUCUGUAGCCAUUAAACAUCAAUUACUCAUUUUCCCCUCUCCUCCUCACAACCCCUGGCAGUCCUAUUCUACUU
rnacentral:lncRNA from 1 species